AUGGAAGGUUUAUCGCUGGCCAUACAACGAUCCGAUCUGCCCAUUGCUAUCGAAUCGGAUUCUAGCUUGGCAGUGUCUAUGGUAUCCUCUGAUGAAGUUGAUCGUUCAAUCUAUGCUGCUCUGGUGAAUGAAAUAAGACUACUGUUGCGUCUUAGACAAACUUGUAUUACUCAUAUUGUGAGAGUCCAGAAUAAAGCUAGUGACAGUUUGGCUAGGUUUGCUCGAGUUGAGGGGCGAACUAUGACAUGGCUGGGGUCUGGACUAGAGGAGGUCUUGGGUAUAUCCCUUGAUGAUUGUAAAGACAUUGUUAUUUGA
rnacentral:rRNA from 1 species